rnacentral:lncRNA from 1 species
GGAGUUUUAAUUUGUCUCUCUUAGUAUUGAUCUUGUAUUCAUCUAGUUUAAUCAACACCUUGCUAAUUUUCUUAUUGAAAUUCUUUUGUUCAACUUCUGUUCAAUCUCUUCUAUAAUAUAUCCAUGAAAGUUUAUCAAGACUGCCUUCUUAUCAAUAUUAGAGCUUGAUCUUUCUUCAUAGAGAGUAGAUUAUCCUUCUUCUUGAAGGCAUCUAAGCACUUUAGAAGUUGUGAAAUAUCCUCUUUUAAAUUGGUAUUAUUUAGAUUUUCUUUUUUUCUUUUAAGAUAGUUGAAGAUGUGUCACGGACACAAAAUACAGACUUGAAAUCUAACAAGAAGUUCAAGAAGAAGUGGCAGAACUAAAUUAAACAGAUGAGUACAAGAACAAUACCAGAAAGGUGAG